rnacentral:rRNA from 1 species
CCUACGGGAGGCAGCAGUGGGGGAUAUUGCACAAUGGGGGGAACCCUGAUGCAGCGACGCCGCGUGUGGGAAGACGGUCCUCUGGAUUGUAAACCACUGUCCCCAGGGACGAAAAUGACGGUACCUGGGGAGGAAGCUCCGGCUAACUACGUGCCAGCAGCCGCGGCAAUACGUAGGGAGCGAGCGUUGUCCGGAAUUACUGGGUGGAAGGGGAGCGUAGGCGGGGAUGCAAGUUGGGUGUCAAAACUACCGGCUCAACUGGUAGUCGCACUCAAAACUGCAGCUCUUGAGUGAAGUAGAGGCAGGCGGAAUGCCUAGUGUAGCGGUGAAAUGCGUAGAUAUUAGGAGGAACACCAGUGGCGAAGGCGGCCUGCUGGGCUUUUACUGACGCUGAGGCUCGAAAGUGUGGGGAGCAAACAGGAUUAGAUACCCCUGUAGUC